rnacentral:rRNA from 1 species
CUUAGCAUAUCAAUAAGCGGAGGAAAAGAAACCAACAGGGAUUGCCCUAGUAACGGCGAGUGAAGCGGCAACAGCUCAAAUUUGAAAUCUGGCUCUUUUAGGGUCCGAGUUGUAAUUUGCAGAGGGCGCUUUGGCGUUGGCAGCGGUCCAAGUUCUUUGGAACAGGACGUCACAGAGGGUGAGAAUCCCGUACGUGGUCGCUAUCCUUCGCCGUGUAAAGCCCCUUCGACGAGUCGAGUUGUUUGGGAAUGCAGCUCUAAAUGGGAGGUAAAUUUCUUCUAAAGCUAAAUACUGGCCAGAGACCGAUAGCGCACAAGUAGAGUGAUCGAAAGAUGAAAAGCACUUUGGAAAGAGAGUCAAAUAGCACGUGAAAUUGUUGAAAGGGAAGCGCUUGCAGCCAGACUUGCCUGUAGUUGCUUAUCUAGACUUUUGUCUAGUGCACUCUUCUGCGGGCAGGCCAGCAUCAGUUUGGGCGGUUAGAUAAAGGUCUCUGUCAUGUACCUCUCUUCGGGGAGGCCUUAUAGGGGAGACGACAUGUAACCAGCCUGGACUGAGGUCCGCGCAUCUGCUAGGAUGCUGGCGUAAUGGCUGUAAGCGGCCCGUCUUGAAACACGGACCAAGGAGUCUAACAUCUAUGCGAGUGUUUGGGUGUCAAGCCCAGACGCGUAAUGAAAGUGAACGGAGGUAGGAACCCUUUGGGUGCACUAUCGACCGAUCCUGAUGUCUUCGGAAGGAUUUGAGUAAGAGCAUGGCUGUUGGGACCCGAAAGAUGGUGAACUAUGCUUGAAUAGGGUGAAGCCAGAGGAAACUCUGGUGGAGGCUCGCAGCGGUUCUGACGUGCAAAUCGAUCGUCAAAUUUGGGCAUAGGGGCGAAAGACUAAUCGACUUCAAGGG